ensembl:rRNA 5S_rRNA 5S ribosomal RNA
GCUUACGGCCAUACCACCCUGAGCACGCCUGACCUCGUCUGAUCUCGGAAGCUAAGCAGGGCUGGGCUUCGUUAGUACUUGGAUGGGAGACUCCCUGGGACUACCUGGUGCUGUAAGCC